rnacentral:rRNA from 1 species
GACGAACGCUGGCGGCGUGCUUAACACAUGCAAGUCGAACGAAGAGCGACGGAAGCUUGCUUCUGUCAGUCUUAGUGGCGGACGGGUGAGUCACGCGUAAUCAACCUGCCCUUCAGAGGUGGCCAACAGUUGGAAACGACUGCUCAUACCACAUACGCUCUCACCUCGGCAUCGAGGAUAGAUGAACGGUGGCCUCUACAUGUAAGCUAUCACUUCAGCAGGUGAUUGCGGCUGUUUAGUUCGAUGGCGGGGUAACGUACCAGGAAGGCGAGGAUCAGUAGCCGGUCUGAGAGGAUGAGCAGCCACACUGGGAGUGUGACACGGCCCAGACGGCUAGGGGAGGCAGCAAGAGGGAAUCGUGCGCAAGGGACGGAAGACUGAGCGCGCAACGCCGCGGGAGUGAUGAGGGCCGUCGGGUUGUAAAGCACGGUUAACCGGGAUGAAAGGCCUUCUUGCGAAUAGGGAGAAGGAUUGACGGUACCGGAAAAGAAAGCCACGGCUAACUACGUG